rnacentral:rRNA from 1 species
GGGGAAUUUUGCGCAAUGGGGGAAACCCUGACGCAGCAACGCCGCGUGAGUGAUGAAGGCCUUCGGGUCGUAAAGCUCUGUCAGAGGGGAAGAAGUGCAUGGGCGCUAAUAUCGCUUAUGCUUGACGGUACCCUCAAAGGAAGCACCGGCUAACUCCGUGCCAGCAGCCGCGGUAAUACGGAGGGUGCGAGCGUUGUUCGGAAUUAUUGGGCGUAAAGCGCGUGUAGGCGGUUUUUUAAGUCUGAUGUGAAAGCCCUGGGCUCAACCCGGGAAGUGCAUUGGAAACUGGGAGACUUGAAUACGGGAGAGGGCAGUGGAAUUCCUGGUGUAGGAGUGAAAUCCGUAGAUAUCAGGAGGAACACCGGUGGCGAAGGCGGCUGCCUGGACCGAUAUUGACGCUGAGACGCGAAAGCGUGGGGAGCAAAC